rnacentral:rRNA from 1 species
UACGUAGGGGGCUAGCGUUGUCCGGAUUUAUUGGGCGUAAAGAGCUCGUAGGCGGUUUGUCGCGUCUGCCGUGAAAGUCCGGGGCUCAACUCCGGAUCUGCGGUGGGUACGGGCAGACUAGAGUGAUGUAGGGGAGACUGGAAUUCCUGGUGUAGCGGUGAAAUGCGUAGAUAUCUGGAGGAACACCGGUGGCGAAGGCGGCAUCCUGGACCGAGACUGACACUGAGGAGCGAAAGCCAGGGGAGCAAACGGG